AACGAACGCUGGCGGCAUGCCUAACACAUGCAAGUCGAACGAGACCUUCGGGUCUAGUGGCGCACGGGUGCGUAACGCGUGGGAACCUGCCCUUAGGUUCGGAAUAACUCCCCGAAAGGGGUGCUAAUACCGGAUAAUGUCUUCGGACCAAAGAUUUUUCGCCUUUGGAUGUGCCCGCGUUGGAUUAGCUGGUUGGUAGGGUAAAAGCCUACCAAGGCGACGAUCCAUAGCUGGUCUGUGAGGAUGGUCAGCCACACUGAGACUGAGACACGGCCCAGACUCCUACGGGAGGCAGCAGUGGGUAAUAGUGGACAGUGGGCGGAAGGCUGAUGCAGCAAUGCCGCGUGAGUGAUGAAGGCCGUAGGGUUGUAAAGCUCUUUUACCCGGGAUGAUAAUGACAGUACCGGGAGAAUAAGCUCCGGCUAACUCCGUG
rnacentral:rRNA from 1 species